UGGGGAAUAUUGCACAAUGGGCGCAAGCCUGAUGCAGCCAUGCCGCGUGUAUGAAGAAGGCCUUCGGGUUGUAAAGUACUUUCAGCGGGGAGGAAGGGAGUAAAGUUAAUACCUUUGCUCAUUGACGUUACCCGCAGAAGAAGCACCGGCUAACUCCGUGCCAGCAGCCGCGGUAAUACGGAGGGUGCAAGCGUUAAUCGGAAUUACUGGGCGUAAAGCGCACGCAGGCGGUUUGUUAAGUCAGAGGUGAAAUCCCCGGGCUCAACCUGGGAACUGCAUCUGAUACUGGCAAGCUUGAGUCUCGUAGAGGGGGGUAGAAUUCCAGGUGUAGCGGUGAAAUGCGUAGAGAUCUGGAGGAAUACCGGUGGCGAAGGCGGCCCCCUGGACGAAGACUGACGCUCAGGUGCGAAAGCGUGGGGAGCAAACAGG
rnacentral:rRNA from 2 species